CGGCCCGCCCCCAGCUCGCCAGGCUCCAUCCCCGCCGGCUGGGCCCAUGGGUCUCAGGCUGGGACCCGAGGCGUUGCCGUACAGCCCGGGUCUCGCAGGAGGGCAGUGGGCAGCUUCCCUUCCCCACCCAGGGUUGUAUCCAAGGAUUUUUAAAUCAUAGGAACACAAGCACGUACCUUGGCCCAAACGCUCAGACGCUAAGAACAGCAAGUCUCUGAGAUCCCCAGCAGCCCAACCCAUCACUCUGGGGGAAUCUUGCUGGGCUUUUACUGACCUUAGUCGAGUGUUCCCUGGCCUGUUAACUGCAUGCAUCUGCAGCUGAGGCCUUGCUGAGCAAGAGGGGGACCCACACAGAGGAGGAGAAAGCAUCUGAAUCCUGCUUCCUGCUUGUUAUAAUAUAGUACCUGCUUCCACCUACUUAAACUGAAGGGGCCACAUCCUCCUCACUGUCCCUUACACCUGAGGCUCCUCAAGAGCUGCUGAUGCACGGAGUUGGAAGAUUUAAGGAAUCAGUUCCUGUUUCGCUGGUUCUGGCCGACCCCAGAAUCAACUCCCUUGAUUGGAAAUAAACAGGAUCUUCCUUUUUAUCCCCAGGCAUGUGAUGGAGGAAGGACUCUAGGGGAAAAGGUCUCUUCUGCCAAAGAAUAAAAAUAAUAACAAAGGUGACAGUGGGAAUAAAAUAUUGCCCUCUUCAUCAAGGGCAAUAAGGAAGUGUCUAGUUAUAUGUGUUGAGCCUUCUCACUCUCCAUAUACACAUGUCAGAAGUCCAGAAUUCAGCCCAGGUUUGAUCUGAACUCUUUCUGUUCUGUGGUCCUCUCGAGUGUACUAUACAUAUUGGGCUACACGUCUCAAUUUUGGUUUCAGAAAAAAGGAUUACAAUUACAGCACUUCAGGUUGACAUAGUACUGUAAAUGUCUAAGCAUGAACCUCUCCUAAAGGGUAUAUCUCUGUCAUGUGUACCCUCAGUGCCUGGCACAGUGCCUGGUCCUUGGAAGCUGGGGCAGAGGGGCUAUGAUAUAAAUGGGGUAAGGCAGGCGGUACCUGCAGCUCCCUCUCUGUUGGCUGAGGAAUGGGGUGAGGGGACUGAGGAAGAACCCAGAGGACUGCAUGAACUUUCCCUUUCCCUCAGUGCUCCUGGGGCAGGGGCAGGAAGAGCUGUGUUCAGGGAGAAACCCCAACAAGACCCAUUCCCCCUGUUGACUUUUGUAAACUCCUUGUAUUCCAAAGGAAUCAUUCGCCCACUUCUGGGCCAGCUGUAUCUCAGCUUGCUCUCUCCCCUCCCAAGGGGAGGAUCAUGUUACCUAAAGAAACUUACCUUUUGCUAUUUCAUUUUUUUCUCUCCUUUAUAAUUUCCCUUUCUCUCUUUCUUUCUUUUUUACCUUUUGCUAUUUCUAUUAAACCUUCCUUUUUGCUCAAGAAGGUGAUGAGGUAGAAGAAUGUCCCCUCCCCACUCUUGGCCAAUCUUCCUUGGUCCAGGGUUACAGAUUCUUUUUCUCUGUCUCCUCUCCCUCCCCUUUGUCUUCCUUCUCCUUGUUCCUCUGUUAUGAAGACUAACUUCCCAAAGCUGAGGGAGAGGUGAAUCCAGUCUGUUUCUAGAGAAGCCCUCCCCCACUUCAUUCAGUAAAAAAAAAAAAAAAAUUUUUACUCUGCUCACGAAUUUUCAAUAGCUACCUAUUGUCAUCAGUUUAUAUACAUUCCUAACAUUAAA